CCCAGGUCAGGCGAGGCCACC
rnacentral:rRNA from 2 species